rnacentral:rRNA from 1 species
GCCCCGUACACAAAAGCGCAUGUGCUGUGAGCUCGAUGAGUAGGGCGGGACACGUGGUAUCCUGUCUGAAUAUGGGGGGACCAUCCUCCAAGGCUAAAUACUCCUGACUGACCGAUAGUGAACCAGUACCGUGAGGGAAAGGCGAAAAGAACCCCGGCGAGGGGAGUGAAAAAGAACCUGAAACCGUGUACGUACAAGCAGUGGGAGCACCCUUUGGGGUGUGACUGCGUACCUUUUGUAUAAUGGGUCAGCGACUUAUAUUCUGUAGCAAGGUUAACCGUAUAGGGGAGCCGGAGGGAAACCGAGUCUUAACCGGGCGUUAAGUUGCAGGGUAUAGACCCGAA